rnacentral:rRNA from 1 species
UCUCGAAUCAUUCACAAUGGGCGAAAGCCUGAUGGUGCGACGCCGCGUGGGGGAUGAAGGUCUUCGGAUUGUAAACCCCUGUCACUAGGGAACAAAAACUGAGUUCAUAGCUCAGCUUGAGUUAACCUGGAGAGGAAGUAGUGGCAAACUCCGUGCCAGCAGCCGCGGUAAUACGGAGACUACGAGCGUUACUCGGAUUCACUGGGCGUAAAGGGUGCGUAGGCGGCCAGGUGUGUUAGGUGUGAAAUCCCGAAGCUUAACUUCGGAAUUGCGCCUAAAACUAUUUGGCUAGAGUAUUGGAGAGGCAAGCGGAAUUCUAGGUGUAGCGGUGAAAUGCGUAGAUAUCUAGAGGAACACCAAAGGCGAAGGCAGCUUGCUGGACAAUAACUGACGCUGAGGCACGAAAGCGUGGGGAGCAAAAA